rnacentral:rRNA from 1 species
GAUGAACGCUAGCUACAGGCUUAACACAUGCAAGUCGCGGGGCAGCAUGGGGGUUGCUUGCAAUCCCCGAUGGCGACCGGCGCACGGGUGAGUAGCGCGUAUCCAACCUGCCCUUCACCACGGGAUAACCCGGCGAAAGUCGGACUAAUACCGUAUGUUGUCCAUUGACGGCAUCCGAUUUGGACGAAAGGUUUGGCGGUGAAGGAUGGGGAUGCGUCCGAUUAGCUGGACGGCGGGGUGACGGCCCACCGUGGCGACGAUCGGUAGGGGUUCUGAGAGGAAGGUCCCCCACACUGGAACUGAGACACGGUCCAGACUCCUACGGGAGGCAGCAGUGAGGAAUAUUGGUCAAUGGGCGUAAGCCUGAACCAGCCAAGUAGCGUGCAGGAUGACGGCCCUAUGGGUUGUAAACUGCUUUUAUGCGGGGAUAAAGUGGCCCACGUGUGGGUUUUUGCAGGUACCGCAUGAAUAAGGACCGGCUAAUUCCGUG